rnacentral:rRNA from 1 species
UACGUAGGGUGCAAGCGUUAAUCGGAAUUACUGGGCGUAAAGCGUGCGCAGGCGGUUUUGUAAGCCAGAUGUGAAAUCCCCGGGCUCAACCUGGGAAUGGCAUUUGGGACUGCAAGGCUGGAGUUUGGCAGAGGAGACUGGAAUUCCUGGUGUAGCGGUGAAAUGCGUAGAUAUCUGGAGGAACACCGGUGGCGAAGGCGGCGUUCUGGACUGCAACUGACACUGAGAAACGAAAGCCAGGGGAGCAAACAGG